UAUAUAAAGUAUAUUUUAACUUGAUUAUUUCAAUUCAAAACGUGAAUUUCAUACUAAAAAGGACUCAAUUGGAUUAACUAAGUGGACUAUAAGUUUUCUUGAAAAGUACAUUAUAACUUCAUAAUGGACUUUGAUCAAGUUCAAUAUUAAGUAGUUAAAUUUUUUUACCUAAAUCGUAAACACAUUAUGAAUGAAUUACUUUUUUUUUUUGUAACAAAAUGAAUUACUUUCUUUAAGGUAAGAUUUUACUUGUAAAAUAAUUGCAAUCAAUUCCCAAAUAAGAGUCAAAGAUUUGAAUUGUACAUCAUGAAUCAUGCAAUAAAUUCUAUAGUUUUAUAAGGUCAAGAUAUAUUUAGAAUUAUGGAAACUAAAUUUGCAUAGCGCUAAUUUUGCUAACGUUUGUUGUAUAUCAUGAAACUUAUAUUUACAGAGGACCGUCCAUAUCAUUUUCAUUGCAGUAUAGUUUUAACCAUUUAUCAUAACACUGUCCUGUUAAACUUUUUUUUUUGAGAGCUGUCCUGUUAAACUAUAAGAUGCGUAUCAUUACAAUUUAGUUUUUUUUCUGUUAUAAAAAACUAUAAGAUAUGUAUAGAGAAAUAGAUAAAUAUAAAUGAACUAUUCAGUUAAAUAUGAUAUAUAUAUACCAUCAAGUUACAUGAUAUAUAUAUAUAUAUAUAUAUGCAUAAUUUGUGAGUUCAAAUUUUAAUUCUUAUAAAACAUCAUAAACAUCACGUAACUUGAUGGGAUAGUGACACAUCAGAGGAAGCAUAUCCUUCUAAAAAAAUUUGAACAUUGUUUCUUAGUUUCUGACUGAAUCUUUUUUUUUGGUAUAGGUAAACAACAGACUUAGUAGUAAGCAAAUGUUAUACGAAGCCUGAUGAAAUACGAAAUUAUCAAUUUUGUUUGCAAUUGAUGAUGUUGGUUAAUGUUGAUAUUAGGAACUUGAAAGAAAAUGAUGAGGGGUCCUCGUUUUAGUUAUUUCUAUUUGUAGGUAAUACAUUAAAUGGUAGUAUCAUAUAAAAUUAUAAUAUGUAUUAGUAAGGUACCAAUGGCAAUUUAUGUAAUAUGUCUAGUAAUUAGAGGGUGAUUUUAAUAAUGAACUGAGAAGAAUUGUGGUGAUGCCACAUAAGCUAAAAUGGCAAACUUAUGAAUAAAUUACAAAAUUAAGGUUACUCUAUUAAAAUGCUUCUGUAUUAAUAAGUAAGGGAUACCAAACACAGACUAGCUUGUUCAUUGCUCAAAGAACAUACUCCUCUCAUAUUCAUUACCGGGCAUAAAUAUAAAUUUCAAAUAAUCUGAGAAGGCUAGUAGGACCCUCCAUGGGCUCAUGGUAUCAGGAAAUCAUACAUGAAGAGAACAUAUGAAAAGUGAAAGAAGCAAGGUCAGGUGGGGACUAUAAGAAUCAAAGUUUACCCGACAAUAACUGCUUUUGCUUUUUUAUCCAUAUCAAAUUAUCAAUCUUUGUUCUGUCUGUGAGUUGUAAUCUUCCACCUUAAGGUUUUGAUAUCUCUAUUUUUUUUUUCUUUGUGCGGAUGUAUAUCCCUAUAUAUUCUAGUACUCAGUGAUUAACUUAAAGAUCAUCUCAAAACAAUUUCAAUGAAGAGAUACUGUCGAGAUUUAUUGCUAAUCAUCACCAUCUUCUUCAUCACCUUUGCUUUUUCCGAAGAGCUUCAAUGUUGUUCAGACAAAACAACCGACUUGGUUCACAAAGAGAGACUAGUGAUCAGUGGCAAGAGAGCUCAUGGAAGCAUUUCACAAAUGAGCAGGGCAAGAGGUGUUUAUGGAGGUGGAUCUCUUAUCAGACCUAAAGGAAAAAAGAACAUGGCCAUGGCCUCCAUGACUAAAUCUGCUUCACUUGCAAUGCUUCAAGUAACAUUUGCAAUUCUGAUCCAUCUUUUCUUGUACUGAAAUGUAAAAAAUCAUUGAUAAAUUAUUUCUUGAUGAGCAAA